rnacentral:misc_RNA from 1 species
UCCGGCUCGUCACCGGCAGUUUCCCUAGAGUUCCCACCAUUACGUGCUGGCAACUAAGGAUGAGGGUUGCGCUCGUUGCGGGACUUAACCCAACAUCUCACGACACGAGCUGACGACAGCCAUGCAACACCUGUCUAGAAGUAGAUUGCUCCACCCAAGGCAUCUCUGCCAAGGUUCCUCUAGAUGUCGAGGCCUGGUAAGGUUUUUCGCGUUGCAUCGAAUUAAACCACAUGCUCCACCGCUUGUGCGGGUCCCCGUCAAUUCCUUUGAGUUUUAAUCUUGCGACCGUACUCCCCAGGCGGGGUGCUUAACGCGUUAGCUACAUCACCGAAACAUAAAGUCCCGACAACUAGCACCCAUCGUUUAGGGCGUGGACUAC